AACGAACGCUGGCGGCAGGCCUAACACAUGCAAGUCGAGCGCCCAGCAAUGGGAGCGGCAGACGGGUGAGUAACGCGUGGGAACCUUCCCAAUGGUACGGAAUAGCUCAGGGAAACUUGAGGUAAUACCGCAUAAGCCCGAAAGGGGAAAGAUUUAUCGCCAUUGGAUGGGCCCGCGUAGGAUUAGCUAGUUGGUGAGGUAAUGGCUCACCAAGGCGACGAUCCUUAGCUGGUUUGAGAGAAUGACCAGCCACACUGGGACUGAGACACGGCCCAGACUCCUACGGGAGGCAGCAGUGGGGAAUCUUGGACAAUGGGCGCAAGCCUGAUCCAGCCAUGCCGCGUGAGUGACGAAGGUCUUCGGAUUGUAAAGCUCUUUUGCCAGGGACGAUAAUGACGGUACCUGGAGAAUAAGCCCCGGCUAACUUCGUGCCAGCAGCCGCGGUAAC
rnacentral:rRNA from 1 species